CAGUAGCCGCGGUAAUACGGAGGGUGCAAGCGUUAUCCGGAUUUACUGGGCGUAAAGCGUGCGUAGGCGGCUUCUUAAGUCGGAUGUGAAAUCCCUGAGCUUAACUUAGGAAUUGCAUUCGAUACUGGGAAGCUAGAGUAUGGGAGAGGAUGGUAGAAUUCCAGGUGUAGCGGUGAAAUGCGUAGAGAUCUGGAGGAAUACCGAUGGCGAAGGCAGCCAUCUGGCCUAAUACUGACGCUGAGGUACGAAAGCAUGGGGAGCAAACAGGAUUAGAUACCCCAGUAGUCCCUGUCUCUUAUAC
rnacentral:rRNA from 1 species